UAUGAUAAAAACGAUAGUGGUGCCCACAUUUCAUUUUGUGCAGGCUGUAAAAGGGAAGCCGGUAUAUGCCGGCGCGCCCCCAGGCACUGUAAAAGACAAGGACAACACGGGGUUCAUUAUUUGAACCAUCACCACGGGGAAUGAUUUCCUGGAAGGGCGUGUUGAACGCUUGCAGUCUUGAGCCAGGAUACCUGCCACUAUCCUAGGGCUGUA
rnacentral:ncRNA from 2 species